rnacentral:rRNA from 1 species
GAUGAACGCUGGCGGCGUGCCUAAUACAUGCAAGUCGAGCGAACGGACGAGAAGCUUGCUUCUCUGAUGUUAGCGGCGGACAGGUGAGUAACACGUGGAUAACCUACCUAUAAGACUGGGAUAACUUCGGGAAACCGGAGCUAAUACCGGAUAAUAUUUUGAACCGCAUGGUUCAAAAGUGAAAGACGGUCUUGCUGUCACUUAUAGAUGGAUCCGCGCUGCAUUAGCUAGUUGGUAAGGUAACGGCUUACCAAGGCAACGAUGAAUAGCCGACCUGGGAGAGUAAUAGGCCACGCUGGAACUGAAAGACGGGCCAGACUCCGACGGGGAGCAGCAGUAGGGAAUCUUCCGCGAUGGGCGUAAGCCUGACGGAGCAACGCCGCGUGGGUGAUGAAGGUCAUCGGGUCUGAAAACUCUGUGAUUAGGGAAGAACAUAUGUUUAAGUAACUGUGCACAUCUUGACGGUACCUGAGCAGAAAGCCACGGCUAACUACGUG